rnacentral:rRNA from 1 species
UACGUAGGGCGCGAGCGUUGUCCGGAAUUAUUGGGCGUAAAGAGCUCGUAGGCGGCCUGUUGCGUCUGCUGUGAAAUCCCGGGGCUUAACCCCGGGCGUGCAGUGGAUACGGGCAGGCUGGAGGCAGGCAGGGGAGAAUGGAAUUCCCGGUGUAGCGGUGAAAUGCGCAGAUAUCGGGAGGAACACCGGUGGCGAAGGCGGUUCUCUGGGCCUGUUCUGACGCUGAGGCACGAAAGCGUGGGGAUCAAACAGG